rnacentral:rRNA from 1 species
GAUGAACGCUGGCGGCGUGCCUAAUACAUGCAAGUCGAGCGAACGGACGAGAAGCUUGCUUCUCUGAUGUUAGCGGCGGACGGGUGAGUAACACGUGGAUAACCUACCUAUAAGUUUGGGAUAACUUCGGGAAACCGGAGCUAAUACCGGAUAAUAUUUUGAACCGCAUGGUUCAAAAGUGAAAGACGGUCUUGCUGUCACUUAUAGAUGGAUCCGCGCUGCAUUAGCUAGUUGGUAAGGUAACGGCUUACCAAGGCAACGAUGCAUAGCCGACCUGAGAGGGUGAUCAGCCACACUGGAACUGAGACACGGUCCAGACUCCUACGGGAGGCAGCAGUAGGGAAUCUUCGGCAAUGGGCGAAAGCCUGACGGAGCAACGCCGCGUGAGUGAUGAAGGUCUUCGGAUCGUAAAACUCUGUUAUUAGGGAAGAACAUAUGUGUAAGUAACUGUGCACAUCUUGACGGUACCUAAUCAGAAAGCCACGGCUAACUACGUG